CAUAACCGCCGGCCCACUUCCUUACUCGCCUGCUCGGCUUCUUCGCGUUCGCUUCCCGGCCCCCAGCUUUUCAAACUUCAAGUAAACCUCGCAUGUCGCUUUCUGCCGGGUUCUGGUGUUUUCCACUUUCUACGGGUUCAGCAUUUAAUGUGUACCUGCUGUAUGCACACGUGUAUGGGGGAGGAAGAAAAAUCAGGCUGCUUACAGCCCGACCUUCGUGACUGUUCUGUCCCAGUCCAAGCCCUCCUAGACGGUGAUCCCCCGCAGCCCUCCCUACCCUGCACCCCCGCCCCUGGGCAGUGGGUGGCACAUCCUCUCUCAGUCGCUGCUAAGCUCUCCCAACCGGUCCCUCCUCACGCGGGGAGAGGCUGCCACUUAGCGGUCCUGCUCAAAAUCCUGGCGUGGCUCCAACUACCUUCGCAAUGGGGCCCUGGCCUGGCAUUUAAAGACUCCGCCCCUCCCCUGCGGGGUCAUCACAUCACGUCCCCUCCCCCCGGGACCCCUUCCUCUUGGGGCUUUAGGGCAUUCGUGUGUCGGCCCUCCCACCACCGGAUGCUCCUCUGACCUGAGGAGGUGCUCUGUCCUUCGCCUUCUCUGAAGCCUUGGAAGCGCGAUUAAGUCUUGUCUUCUUUAGUUCUCUGGAGCCCUCCCGCUCAGACCUUGCCCUGGUCCAGAUAGUUCCCCCCACAGGGCAGACCCACAGAACAAUCAACACACGUGUGACAGUCAUCGUGGGAUGUCAGUGGUAUUUCCAAAGAAGGCACCAAAAGCAUCACACCUUGUCUGAGGUCUCACAGCUCCAGCUCGGAUGGCUCUGCCACGCAAGCUAGGUUUGCACUGGAGGACCCUCCUUCCUUCCCUUCCUCUUCCUCCUCCUGAGAAGCCCUCUGGAUGUCACUUCCCCGGGAAGCUUUCUGCCACCGCUCCAUUCAACUGUCUUGAGCCACAGGUCCAGUGGAGGACAGUUCUGGCCCCCCGCUUCGUUCUGCUGGAAGAGACCUGGCCUCAGUCACAGGGGGCUCUCGGCAUUGUUCUCCAGAGCUGGACACGGACUGAGGACCUGGCCCCAAGCCCUGUGCAUUCGGCCUGACUGUGUUCCUGUUCUCCGGCUGGAACGCAAGGCUUCGGCUCACGCCCCAGGCUCUGGAGAAAGUUAAAUUGGAUCCGUCACGGUCGGUGGAGAAUACACAGGACAAGGUGAGAGCGUCCGGGGAAGCAACGCGACCAUGACUCUGGCCAGGCCUCCCUUCUGCCCCCCAGCACCGCGCGCCCUCGCGUCCUCUGCAGACUCUGUUCUUGGCACGAGAAGCAGUCUCUGUUAGCCGGCCGGUGUCUCAGCGUCCCUCCUCACCUUACGCUGGCCCUGAAGCACUGGACACGGUCUGCAGUCGCCAUCAGGGAGGACCUGUGAGGUCUCGGUUGGGCACAGGUCCCAAACGCCAGACCAUCUCCCUUGCCCCACGCAUCCUGGCUCCUCCCUGCAGCAGCGGGCCCAUGUCUACCCAGGAGAUCGUGUCUGGGAGCCUGGAGUGUCUCUCUCCGCGCUGGCCCUUUGCCCACUCCCACGAUGCCCCGUGGAAUCCUUCCUACGUCCCUUUUGUCCCUUAACACAAAAGCUCGUCUACUCUUUUUCAUCUAGUGUAGCCCUUGAUGGCUAUUUGGGACGACAGUCAGAGAAAGCUUACACGCCCCUUGACUAAUCCCAAACUAUCAGAAACCUGGGGCUCAUCUUCUCCAGAGUUCAGCUUUUAGAAAUGCCAGCCCUAGUUUGUAAAUCAGCUCAAAACAAAACAAAACCCUGUGGAAUGUUUAUUAUUAGGAACAGGUUGAGCUCUUUGUUUUCUGUCACAUGUCCUUCCUCCCGUGACCGCUCUCCACCUUACAAAGACUUCCUUCCUCCCAGUAUACAAAACUCGGAGCCACAAAAGACAUGUGGAGGGGACCCCAUCCCUGCAACGGGUCAUGACACCACAGCCAGUAUUUAUGGCUUCCUUUCGCCUUCGUGAAUGCCACACUCCCUUGGCCUCCAGCCAGCACCUCAGCUGCUCAGGGAGCUUGACCAGCUGGGGUGACUUAACAUCAUGGAGAUGUCACAUCUCUCCAAAUUAAACUGUAAACUCACUGCAUAUUCCAAUCAAAAUCCCAUCAAGGAAGCUAAGCAGGGUCGAGCCCGGUUAGUCCUUGGAUGGGAGACCGCCUAGGAAGACCAGGUGCCGCAGGCGUAAAAAAUUAAAAAGCAAGGGAUCGUAAGCUGAUAAGGUCCUUGCCAUCUGUGAGGUCAACCAAGGGUUGCCACGCCUAAAAAAAAAAAUCCAUCAAGGCUUUUCACAGAAUUGGGAAAACUGAUACGAAAAUAUAGAUAGAAAAGCAAAGGGCCAAGAACAGCCAAGCCAAAUUUGAAGAACGAAGUGGGGGUGGGAGGGAUCGGCCCUGUCAGAUAAUUACAUAGCCAGAGCAAUCAAAGCAAGCAGACCGUUAUUUCCCACAUAUGAUGGAUGUUUCUUUAUCACGAUAGCCUGGAAGUUCUGCAGUUUCGGUUUCGAUUUCUUCUUUGACAUGAAUCAUUUUAACAGAUCUAUAAAUGUACUUAUAAAUAUUAUAAGUUCAUAAAUAGUAUAACUGUAGACAUUAGAGCCUUUUGUUUCCUGGUUUUGUUAUUUAUGUUUGUUUGUUUUAAGGUCUUACCAUGAGAGACUGUUGUCUGGACUAUUUCUCUUCUUCUGGAAUGUUCUAAAACUUUCUCUGAGGCUUAAUAGAUGGUUAUUGUAGUAAAGUCCCAAGAGCAGUUGAA